GCUAAAGGCUCUUGGAAUUGCCAUGAGUUCAGAGCUCAAAGAAUUGGCACUGAUAAAUUGUGAUGUGGUUGAAAGGGAAUCAGGAUUGCUUGCCACGCUAGGCCANNCAACUAAGGAAAUUAGACUUGUCUCAUAAUGAAUCUUUGCAUGAUAAGGAGUUCAUUUCAAUGCUAGUUUCUUGCAAUAAUCUGACUGAAUUGAGAUUAAGAGGGUGC
rnacentral:misc_RNA from 1 species